rnacentral:rRNA from 2 species
GCAGUCGAACGAACUCUGGUAUUGAUUGGUGCUUGCAUCAUGAUUUACAUUUGAGUGAGUGGCGAACUGGUGAGUAACACGUGGGAAACCUGCCCAGAAGCGGGGGAUAACACCUGGAAACAGAUGCUAAUACCGCAUAACAACUUGGACCGCAUGGUCCGAGUUUGAAAGAUGGCUUCGGCUAUCACUUUUGGAUGGUCCCGCGGCGUAUUAGCUAGAUGGUGGGGUAACGGCUCACCAUGGCAAUGAUACGUAGCCGACCUGAGAGGGUAAUCGGCCACAUUGGGACUGAGACACGGCCCAAACUCCUACGGGAGGCAGCAGUAGGGAAUCUUCCACAAUGGACGAAAGUCUGAUGGAGCAACGCCGCGUGAGUGAAGAAGGGUUUCGGCUCGUAAAACUCUGUUGUUAAAGAAGAACAUAUCUGAGAGUAACUGUUCAGGUAUUGACGGUAUUUAACCAGAAAGCCACGGCUAACUACGUGCCAGCAGCCGCGGUAAUACGUAGGUGGCAAGCGUUGUCCGGAUUUAUUGGGCGUAAAGCGAGCGCAGGCGGUUUUUUAAGUCUGAUGUGAAAGCCUUCGGCUCAACCGAAGAAGUGCAUCGGAAACUGGGAAACUUGAGUGCAGAAGAGGACAGUGGAACUCCAUGUGUAGCGGUGAAAUGCGUAGAUAUAUGGAAGAACACCAGUGGCGAAGGCGGCUGUCUGGUCUGUAACUGACGCUGAGGCUCGAAAGUAUGGGUAGCAAACAGGAUUAGAUACCCUGGUAGUCCAUACCGUAAACGAUGAAUGCUAAGUGUUGGAGGGUUUCCGCCCUUCAGUGCUGCAGCUAACGCAUUAAGCAUUCCGCCUGGGGAGUACGGCCGCAAGGCUGAAACUCAAAGGAAUUGACGGGGGCCCGCACAAGCGGUGGAGCAUGUGGUUUAAUUCGAAGCUACGCGAAGAACCUUACCAGGUCUUGACAUACUAUGCAAAUCUAAGAGAUUAGACGUUCCCUUCGGGGACAUGGAUACAGGUGGUGCAUGGUUGUCGUCAGCUCGUGUCGUGAGAUGUUGGGUUAAGUCCCGCAACGAGCGCAACCCUUAUUAUCAGUUGCCAGCAUUAAGUUGGGCACUCUGGUGAGACUGCCGGUGACAAACCGGAGGAAGGUGGGGAUGACGUCAAAUCAUCAUGCCCCUUAUGACCUGGGCUACACACGUGCUACAAUGGAUGGUACAACGAGUUGCGAACUCGCGAGAGUAAGCUAAUCUCUUAAAGCCAUUCUCAGUUCGGAUUGUAGGCUGCAACUCGCCUACAUGAAGUCGGAAUCGCUAGUAAUCGCGGAUCAGCAUGCCGCGGUGAAUACGUUCCCGGGCCUUGUACACACCGCCCGUCACACCAUGAGAGUUUGUAACACCCAAAGUCGGUGGGGAACCUUUUAGGAACCAGCCG